GGUUCUAUGGUGUAGUUGGUUAUCACGCCUGCCUGUCACGCAGGAGAUCACCGGUUCAAGUCCGGUUAGAACCG
rnacentral:tRNA from 1 species